AUUUGUGACAAUGCCACGUUGAAAGCACGACAUCUCGUCGAGUCUGUCAAGUUAAGCAACGUUGGCCUGGUUAGUACUUGGAUCGGAGACGGCCUGGGAAUCCAGGUGUUGUAGACA
rnacentral:rRNA from 1 species